UCCCCAUUACUUUCUCUCCUAUUCUCAUUGUCAACUGCUAACAUCCAAGUCCAGUAAUCAUACUGCUUUAUCUCAAUCACUCUACUAUACUUUUCCUAGAGGAUUACUUCAUAUCAUUUUCUUUAUAAUAAAAUCCCCAUUACUUUCUCUCCUAUUCUCAUUGUCAACUGCUAACAUCCAAGUCCAGGUCACCUUAUUUCUCACAUGUAUCACUAUAGUAUACUUCUAACUGGUAGCUAUAUCCACUUGACCACAUGAAUCAUUGAUAAACUGUAAGCAUUUGUGUAUAUCCGUAUUUAUCCAAAUAUCUGUAGAACAUUCAAUAAGAAAAUACCUAACUAUGUAAGUUAUACUGUUCAAAGAGGGGAUAUGGCAGAGAAGGAAACAAAUUUCAUGCACUUCCAAAGGUUGUACUUUAGGUAAAGGAGGCUGACAACAAUAUAAACUUAUGUCAGCUAAAUAAUACCAUGGAAGAAAAGUAAAGGGAACAGGGAACAAUAAUCAGUUGGUAUUUGAUCAAAGACCUGCUCAAUUUGGGGAGGGAGUCUUUGGUUAUUGAAGUGUACAAAAUAAAUUCAAGUACUCAAAGAAAGUAAAUUCUAGGUAUAUUAAUGUUGCAAUUAUAUUGGUUAUAAGUCCUUAAUAGUAUUAAGGAUAUUUAACCUUUUCUUUAUCAAAGGUGGUGCCUAUAAUUUAAAAAAUCAGAACUCACACCUAUUUCAGACAUGAGCUAAACUAUUUACUGGUAGUAUAUGUGAAGGUUAUGAACUUCUGUCCAUGAUGGAGCUAAGCUAACUACUGAGUAUUCAUGCCAUGUUUGGUUUAAAAAUAAACACAAAUAACUCUCCUCCCUUCAUCGACCCUCCAAGUUUUGGCUGGCUUUACUGAAAAACAUCCUUUUAAUUUUAUCCUGAAAAUAACAUGGAGAAGGACUUUCUUUCAAAACAAGUUCUCCCUUGAAGAGAAACACAUGUUCAAAGCACAAACAUCAUUCCAGUAUCCAAUUUAGGACUACUUAAUUUCUGUAGGGUGAUAUCAUCUUUAGGCUACUGAAUCUGUUCCUCUAAACACUGUUCUAUAAUUCUAUAACUUAGGCCCAUUCACAGAAGCAGACCCAGUUUUUCUAUACAACUAACUGGAGAACAACAAAGAGAACACAUUUGAAAAACAAAUUCCCAGGUUAUAAAUAAUUUCUAAGAGUAGUCAAAAAUAGCACCCAACAUAAUUUUAAAGUAAAAUUUGUUUUGUUUUUUUGGUACCCGGGAUCAAACUUGGGACUUUGCGCUUGUGAGGCAGGCGGGGGAACCACUGAGCUAAAUCCCCAGCCCUAAAGUAAAAUUUGAUAGGCUGAUUUUAAAAUUUAUUUAUAAAGAAAAGGAAAAUUUGGGGGAUAAAGAUUUAUGAGUAAGUCAGGCUACUAGUUAUCUAAGUAAAAUAUAAAGUCAUGAUAAUUUAAG
ensembl:lncRNA